rnacentral:rRNA from 1 species
UACAGAGGUCUCAAGCGUUGUUCGGAUUCAUUGGGCGUAAAGGGUGCGUAGGCGGCGCGGUAAGUCGGGUGUGAAAUCUCGGAGCUUAACUCCGAAACUGCAUUCGAUACUGCCGUGCUUGAGGACUGGAGAGGAGACUGGAAUUUACGGUGUAGCGGUGAAAUGCGUAGAUAUCGUAAGGAAGACCAGUGGCGAAGGCGGGUCUCUGGACAGUUCCUGACGCUGAGGCACGAAGGUCAGGGGAGCAGACGGG